GACACUUUGGCCGAGUGGUUAAGGCGCAGGCCUGCUAAGUCCCCCUACAGGGUUCGAAUCCCAGAGGUGUCG